GGGCAGGGAAGGGCAGGGUCAAGGGAGGACAAGGCCAAGGGGCCACAAGACAGAGAAAGGGAGACAUGCAUGAAAAGCAGGGAGGAAAAUGGAAGAGAAGACAGAUGAAGUACAGGAAGCUAGAGCCAGAAAGAAGAAACAAGUCCUUACCAAGUGAGUUGCGGGCUGCAGUGCGACUCAACUGAGGUGAGGUCCUGAAAAUGUCCUGUUGACUCUCCCAGCGGCCCUUAUUGGAAAGGAGGAGAAACAAAGCAUACAGUUUAUGGAGAGAUCUUGUCUGCUUCCGGACAGCUAAGAAGGGGAAGAAUGGGAGG